CCUACGGGAGGCAGCAGUGAGGAAUAUUGGUCAAUGGGCGCGAGCCUGAACCAGCCAAGUCGCGUGAAGGAUGACUGCCCUACGGGUUGUAAACCUCUUUUAUCAAGGAAUAAAGUGAGGCACGUGUGCCUUUUUGUAUGUACUUGAUGAAUAAGGAUCGGCUAACUCCGUGCCAGCAGCCGCGGUACUACGGAGGAUCCGAGCGUUAUCCGGAUUUAUUGGGUUUAAAGGGUGCGUAGGGGGGUUGUUUAGUCAGUUGUGAAAGUUUGCGGCUCAACCGUAAAAUUGCAUUUGAUACUGGGUGCCUUGAGUGCGGUUGAGGUAGGCGGAAUUCGUGGUGUAGCGGUGAAAUGCUUAGAUAUCACGAAGAACUCCGAUUGCGAAGGCAGCUUACUAACGUGCCACUGACAUUGAAGCUCGAAGGUGUGGGUAUCGAACAGGAUUAGAUACCCUUGUAGUC
rnacentral:rRNA from 1 species